rnacentral:SRP_RNA from 1 species
GCUGGGCACGGUGCCGCGUGCCUGUAAUCCCAGCUACUUAGGAGGCUGAGACAGGAGAAUUGCUUGAACCUGGGAGGCGGAGGUUGCCGUGAGCUGAGAUCACGCCACUGCACUCCAGCCUGGGCGACAGAGCGAGACUCCGUCUCAA